GAUGAAGAACGCAGUGAAAUGCGAUAAGUAAUGUGAAUUGCAGAAUUCAGUGAAUCAUCGAAUCUUUGAACGCACCUUGCGCUCCUUGGUAUUCCGAGGAGCAUGCCUGUUUGAGUGUCAUUAAUAUAUCAACCUUCUCUUUUUUGAGUUGUUUGGAUGUGGGGGUUUGCUGGCCUCUUAAAUGAUUCAGCUCCCCUGAAAUGCAUUAGCAGAACAACCUGUUCAUUAGCGUGAUAAUUAUCUAUGCUAUUGAAUGUGAGGGCAGUUCAGCUUUCUAACCGUCCUUGGACAAUUCAUCAUUAAUGUGACCUCAAAUCAGGUAGGACUACCCGCUGAACUUAAGCAUAUCAUAAGCGGAGGA
rnacentral:misc_RNA from 1 species